AGUUAAAAAGCCACAGAAAGGCCUAAUGUCUUGAAAACAUUAAGAAAGAAGUUUGAAUCUUCUAUUAACUU
rnacentral:tRNA from 1 species